rnacentral:lncRNA from 1 species
UUGGAGUGUAGGGAUGGGUGGGUUGAUUAUAUUCCCACAUGGAGUGUAGGGUUGGACGGAGAUGGUGUGUAGAGGCUGGAUGGGUAGGAUUUUGCUACUGCAUAACUGUUACUGCUACUGAUACUGUGAUAGGCUAAGGCCCUACUGCGUUUUUGACACUGCACUGAAAUGGCUAAGGCCCAAACUGUUACUGAUAUUAAAAAGGGCUUAGGCCCAAGACUGUUCAACUGCGCACUGUGAAUACUGAUUGUUUGCUUGUUUCUGCGGGAUUACACACUGAGUUCACCUAAACUCACCAUUUUUGUUUAAUGUGCACUGGUAAUCCCCAGACUUAUAGAUCGGUGGGACGGAGGACUCAGCGGUGACCACAUAAAUUUUUG